rnacentral:lncRNA from 10 species
CCUGCAGCCUUUAGACAGGGAACAAGGGGCACAGCUUUUCCCACUUUAUUGGUUACUGACUGGGAAAGAAGGAUUCCACUAGCACUGCUUGGCUAUCAAAGCUGGGCAAUGUGAUCCUCUAAGCCACAUGUUUAGCCCCUUGACUGGGCAAACUUCAAACAAGUGACUGAGCUCCCUUAGCUGCCACUGAUUGGACCAGGAUGGACAACAAAUGUAGGAGGAGUUCAUCUGGAUCUAGCCUGAGCCAGUCAGAUAUCCCCUUUGAAUCCAUGCCUAUAGAAAUACAAAAAAAUGGAAGCCAGAGGAUGAUGGAUCCUUGAAGUAAUAAGUCAGCUCUGUGGAAGUUUGAGUGACUCAUUGCAGAGAGGAAUUGAUGAAGUCAACAGCUGCUGGAAAAACUUCUUUUUCCUUAAUAGCUGUAUCAACAUGUGGUUGCUAUUAUUCAAAGUGGAUGAAAUAAUUCUGCAAGCCAGUGGGAACAGGAAGCUUCAUGAAGAGGAGAAAGGCUUAGGGCUCAGAAACCGCACAGAGCAGGAGGAUAGAUGAAUGUAAGGAACAGAGCUUUGAGGACAGACACCCCUGGAUUAGACAAUAGCUCCAAAACUUAUUAAUGAUGGUGAAUGGGUGACUUUCUAAAACCCUUUAAACCUUAUUUGUAAAAUGGGACCAUCAAUAUCUAUUUUGAAAUCUUGUAUAAAUUUGCAAUAAUGUCUGUAAAGUAUCUGACAGGAGCUCAGAAAUGACACAAUUCUUUAAAUCCACUCACACCCAACUUUUAAACAAAAAGUAGCAGUAUAUCCUACACACGAUUUUUAAAUUUUACUAUUUAAG